AACGAACGCUGGCGGCAUGCCUAACACAUGCAAGUCGAACGAGAUCUUCGGGUCUAGUGGCGCACGGGUGCGUAACGCGUGGGAAUCUGCCCUUUGGUUCGGAAUAACAGUUGGAAACGACUGCUAAUACCGGAUGAUGACGAAAGUCCAAAGAUUUAUCGCCAGAGGAUGAGCCCGCGUAGGAUUAGCUAGUUGGUGUGGUAAAGGCGCACCAAGGCGACGAUCCUUAGCUGGUCUGAGAGGAUGAUCAGCCACACUGGGACUGAGACACGGCCCAGACUCCUACGGGAGGCAACAGUGGGGAAUAUUGGACAAUGGGCGAAAGCCUAAUCCAGCAAUGCCGCGUGAGUGAUGAAGGCCUUAGGGUUGUAAAGCUCUUUUACCCGGGAUGGUAAUGACAGUACCGGGAGAAUAAGCUCCGGCUAACUCCGUGCCAGCCGCCGCGGUAA
rnacentral:rRNA from 1 species